rnacentral:lncRNA from 1 species
AACAAUUAAAACACCCAAAACGAUUCAAUACAUAAAAAAUAGAGUAAUAUCCACAAACAAAUAUCAAUACACCAAAUCCAUCAAUGCCUAAAGAGAACUACUCCAUAGAUAUGGAGUAAUUCAUCAUAGAUAAGUUUAAGUUAAAGGAAAAUAUAAAACGAUCUAAACUCUUGUCUUGAGUGGGGAUUGAAUGAUGAAAUCUUUGUGCUCUUGAUUCUCCCAAUUCUUCUUAGCUUCCUUAGGUCUUAGAUGUGUCAAAAGUCCAAAAAAUAACGUUUUUCCAUGUAUAUAUACCAAGUACGGUCGGGCCCAAGAGAAAACACAUUUUCCUACGCGAAAUAGGACACUUUCCGGCUCUAGACAUGCGCAUCCCCACACCUGGGAGUGUACUCGCGCACUUUGGAUAGUGUUCUGCUUGACUUGCAUGCCUAGUGCAUGUUGAGUGACGUCCUGCUCAAUUCUUCAUUUCUCUCGUUAAGUGCACUAUUGUCCGUUGAGCCUCGAACACGAUCCCAACUUAAUCCUUGAGCUUUUACUCAGACUUCAAAGCUCCAGAAUAGCUUUAAUUCAUUCCAAAACAUCUACAAAGCUAGGAAUCACUCCUACAAGGCAUAAAACACAUAAUUAGUGCAAAACACUUAGCGAUUGAAGGCUCAACUCAAUUAAAGUACAGUAAAUUAGAGUGCGAUAAGCAACUAAAACACGCAAUUAUAAACUACCAUCAUUUGGACACUUAAAAAACUUUCUGAGUGGUGCAGGAGGAGUAGUAGGAGAAGCAACAGUGCUAGAUACACUAGUAGACUUAUUAGGGAAAGACAUCUCACAGAUAGGAGCCCCAACGUCCACCAUGGGCUACACAACUUCAGGAGAUGGGACAAGGAUAUCCCUUUGAAAGUUGCAGAACUUAGAAGAGUGGAGAAUAGCCAGAGUGCAAAGGUUGAAAAGGAAAGAUACCUUCCUUAAAAAUAGUAUCCCUGCUGACAAAAAAUUGAUGAGCAGAUAGAUCAUAGAGAAGGUCUCUUUUCUGGGAAGAGGAGUACCCAAGAUGAACAGCAGGAAAUGCUCUAAGACUGAAUUUAUCUUUCUUCUUCAUAUUAGUAGCAUAACACAGACUACCAAACACUCUCAGAUUAUGCAAAGACGGAGGUAGAAGAAAUAACUUCUCAAAGGGGGAUUUGUCUUUCAAUAGAGCAGUAGACAAUCAAUUCAACAAGUAAACUGUAGUGAAAACACACUCACUCUUAAACUUCAAAAGAAUGAAGGCUUGAAAUCUUAAAGCUCUAGCCAUGUCCAGAAUAUACCUAUGUAUUUGUUCUACUAUACUAUUUUGUUGAUGAAUGUAGACAAAUGAACCUUGAUGAACUAUCUCAAAGUCUUUCAACAAAGAACUAACUUGAGUGUUGACAAACUUAUAUCCAUUAUUAGUUCUCAAGCACUUGACUGCAUAACAGAACUGAUUUCUCACAAAUAUCAAGAAUCUUUCAUAACAACAAUUGAGUCUACCUUAGUAGUUUAUAAGAAAAUCCAGGUAUAUCUAUAAAAAUCAUUUACUAAUGUCAGAAAAUACCUUUCACCAUCAUGUAUAGGUACUCUAUAAGGGCCCCAAAUAUCAGCAUGCACAAGAUCAAAAGGAUGAACAGAACAUGAAUUACUGAGAGUAAAAGAUAAUCUUGAUUGUUUGGCAAGGGGACACACAGUACAUAGAUGAUCUUUCAACUGUACAGUGGUUACACCAUCAAUACUCUUCAAGACUCUCAAGGGAGAAUGUCCUAAUCUUCUAUUUCACAAGGAAGUAUUAUCACAAGACUUAUUUACUGUAUCACUACUAGGUUUAUUGCAUGAACUAGUAAUGGUAUUUACAAGUGAAUGAUGUAGACACUUAUCCUCUUUAUUCUCUGUUUGUAAGGAAGAUGCUUGAUCAUUAGCUUGCAGAAUGUAGAGACCAUUCCCUUCUCUACCAAUCUCUAUCACCUUCCCACUGAAGAUCUCUUGAAAUAAACAAAACUUGGGGAAGAAUGCAGCCAAGCAAGUUAGCUCCUUAGUGAUUUUGGAAACAGACAACCUAUUGUAUUUGAAUACUGGAACAUAUAAGACAUUGUGAGUUGUUCUAUCUUGGAAGACUGGGAACUCUCUUUAUUUACUAAUAGAGACUUGGCCACCAGUAGGUAAGAGUACCUUACUUCUAGACUCUUUAGGCAUAUCAGUGUACUUAUUUAGCAAAUCUAAAUUUUAUACCAUAUGAUUAGUGGCACAUAUGUCUACUAUCCAGUUAGUACCAACUAGAGUAGACAACAUGGCAGAAGGGGUACCUGCAUUGUCAACUUUGGUUGUAUUAGCCAUAGGUUCAACCUCCUUUCCUUUAUUAAAAAGCUGCAAAAUCUGAGAAUAUUAAUCAGGAGUGAAGAACUGAGCUGGCGAAGAACCUCCAGGUUGAGAGCAAUGCUGACCCUCAAAGUACUGACCACAUGCAUUAGUCACAUUAUUAGCAUAUGUGUUUCCAUAAGCAUUUGGACCCCUCCCCCCCCCCCUUCUUCUUAGGCUUAAAGUCAACUAGAUAGCCAUUCAAUUUGUAGCAAUCUUAAACUUAUAGUAGUCAUAUUGAACCAAAGCCUUACCAUAAUUAUUAUUUUGCCUGUAAUCUCCCGUAGAAAUUUUGUUGCUCAUCAAGGUAGUAUGGUCACCAAAUUCAGCACCAAUACUAACAGUAACUCCAACACUAUUUUUCCUUUGACUCUUAACAUUAAUAAUCAUGUUAUAUACCUGAUUGAUAUUAGAUAGUGGACGAGUUAUAAGAACUUGAUCCUUAGCAUGUUCAAAUGAUUUAUUUAAACAUGUCAGAAACUGAUAUCAUUUUUAUGUUCGAUAUUGUUCAACAUGCCCUUUAGAAUCAGGACAACCACAAGAAGGUGGAGGAGCUAAAGCCUCAUACUCAUCCCAUAAUUCUCUAAGUUAGGAGAAAUACACAGACACAGAUGACAUACCUUGAGUCAAGGUAGCGAUUUCCUUGUAAAGAUAACAACCUCUGGAGGUGUUGACUUUAUCAAACUUUUCCUUAAGAUCUUCCCACACCUUGUGUGUAUUAUAUUCAUAAAUCACAAUACUAAUGAGAUUUUGUGAGACAAGAUUCAUAAUCCAAACUAGGACGGUCGCAUUACACCUAUCCAACAGUUCAUGUAGACUAGGAUCAUACAUUUUCCUCCGACAAGUACCGAGAAUAAAACCUAGCUUAUUUUUGCCAUGCAAUAUAAUUUUCAUAGAUCUACUCCAAAUUGAAUAAUAUUCAGAUUCUUGAAAUUGAAUGGAGAUUAGUAUCGAACCUUGUGUGUCUGAUGGAUGAAUGUAUAAAAGAUGAUUGUAAUGAACUAGAU